UACAGAGGUCCCAAGCGUUGUUCGGAUUUACUGGGCGUAAAGGGUGCGUAGGUGGCAGGGUAAGUUCGGUGUGAAAGCUUCGAGCUCAACUCGGAAACGGCAUUGAAAACUAUCCUGCUUGAGGGUCGGAGGGGAGACUGGAAUUCUCGGUGUAGCAGUGAAAUGCGUAGAUAUCGAGAGGAACACCAGUGGCGAAGGCGGGUCUCUGGACGACUCCUGACACUGAGGCACGAAAGCUAGGGGAGCAAACAGG
rnacentral:rRNA from 1 species